AAAAUCCCAAGGAUCUGAUAAUGUGUCUCCCCUUCCUCGCUGAUUCCCUCUCUUUUGAAAUCAUUUCUUUUCUUUUCUGUUCUGUUCUGUUCUUUCUUUUUGCUCUUAACAGCUGUCAUAUAUUCCCUUUACACGAAAAAGGGGGA
rnacentral:ribozyme from 1 species